UAUAGAGUGUGUGGCCUGGUAAUGUGGUGUUGGGCUUAUGCUCAGCAAGCCCAAUGUGUUAUUGUUGUAGUGUCCAGUUCAGAACAGGGGUACCUAAGUAGUCUGGGGAUGUACGUAGUGAGAAUUAUGGGCUUAAUUGCCCAGGCCCACAUGGAUGCCAAAGGAAACAUGGAGGGAGUACUUAGAAACAAUUUAUUCUCAAUAUUUCAUAUUUCUUUUCCUCUCUCUCUAAAAAAAAAAAUCCAAGAAAUGCUUGCUCUAUCGCGCUGGAGGCGGCAGACAAUCCAAAACACCAAAAACCAAUCAUCAUACUACUAUUCUCACCUCUCUCUCUCUCUAACACUAGUUUGGCCUAAACUCACUAGUUUGGCCUAAACUCACGCAAAAUUGCUUUAAAUCGUAAGUCAAACCAAGAAACUUAGAAUGUGAAACCUAAAAUUAAAUGAGGUCAAAGAGGAACCAGAGCCUGAUACUUUAGGGAUUUAAUUCCUUGCUCCUGAAGCUACAUGGUGGUGUCAAAAAGCAAGCAAACAAGGGAAGAAUUGGAAAGUGCCACCGACUUGCAAGACAGAGACUUGUUUUAGAAGAUGUUGAAGCUUGAAAAUGAAAAAACCAGAGGCUCGUCAAUGUGGCAAGCAAUUAGAACUCUUUUAUGGCAGUGGAUGGUGUGGGAUAAACAAGACUUGGCUUUGUAUGUUGGCAAGGCACUUUGGACAUGGAGAAAUCAUGGCAUAUCAAGAUAUCAAUUUUUGGAAAACAUCAAGAUUUAGGAAGAAACUCAAAGACUUCGGAGGCAAAGAUGGGAUGGCUUGUAACUGAGGAAAAAAUGGGGAUUAGGGUUUAGGAUUAAUAGUUAAGUUUGGUCAAUUGUUUGACCAAAAAGUCAAUAGUUUACCAAAAGUCAACCCUAGGUCAAAAAUAUGUAAUUUUGUGUAUAACUUCAUGAUUUGGACUUUAUAAUAUGAUUUGAUGUUUAUAUAAUGAAAAGUGGCUUCUUUUUUAAA